AAACCACAUACCGCUGCGCCGUAGACAGCAGGGGUGCCGAAGGCACUUAAUCAUCCUGCCGAGGCUGAAUCAUGUGGAACGGGCAUCCGAAAGGAAGUCCCGGGAAUGCCAUGUGUCGCCUCCGUCUGCGGAGGCUUUUUUCAUGCCUUG
rnacentral:sRNA from 1 species